AAGAGCAAUCAUUUUUCACUAAAUAGGGCCGGGCAGACAGAUAAACAUGCUGAAAUGUUUCCUUACAACCCAUCUCAAGCAGGGGGAACUGCUCUAAGCCCGCAGCUCACGAGUUCAGGCACCUGAUUAUCAACAACACAAACGAACUGGGCAGGAAGUGGAUGUGACUCUCCCUUUGACUCAUGGGACCGGGAUGGUCCAGGGGCAAGGAGCACAGGCAAGGCUUGACUGCUGGUGAAGACAUCACAGCGUUUCUUGAUGGGCGCUUUUCCCAGAGUGUCCUCCUGCCUCCCAGCCGCAGAGGGCCUUCUUCCUCUGUGUCUGACAGUUUCUUCUCUUUCUCCCUCCUGCUGGAAGCCACUUCAGCAUGAAGAGCAUGGCUCCUCAGAGCACUCCUAAAGCCCAGGGAAGGAGCUGAAGAGACUUCCUGGUCUUGGCCUUGGCCGAGCAGGAGCCUCAGACAUGGAGGCGGACACUGUCACCCAAAGAACUUCUGACACAUCACUCAGCUCCUCAGCCUGGGGUUUAUUGGUUGCUCUGGGAAAGUCUCAAGGUGGGGAGUAAGGAAUAAAUUCUUAAA